UACGUAGGGUGCAAGCGUUUGUCCGGAAUUAUUGGGCGUAAAGAGCUCGUAGGCGGCUGUCGCGUCUCGUGCUGUGAAAACUCGGGGCUUAACCCCGGGCCUGCAGUGGGUACGGGCAGACUAGAGUGCGGUAGGGGAGACUGGAAUUCCUGGUGUAGCGGUGAAAUGCGCAGAUAUCAGGAGGAACACCGGUGGCGAAGGCGGGUCUCUGGGCCGUAACUGACGCUGAGGAGCGAAAGCAUGGGGAGCGAACAGG
rnacentral:rRNA from 1 species